UGAGCAGAACUGCAGGUUCUGGCUUUUAACCAGUGGGUCGCAGGUUCGAGUCCUGCUCGGCUCAA
rnacentral:tRNA from 1 species